CGAGGGGGCAAAUGUUGUUCGGAAUCACUGGGCGUAAAGGGAGCGUAGGCGGGUUUCUAAGUCAGGUGUUUAAUCCCGGGGCCCAACCCCGGACAGGCACUUGAAACUGGGAAUCUUGAAUAGUGGAGAGGUCAGUGGAAUUGGGGGUGUAGCGGUGGAAUGCGUAGAGAUCCCCAAGAACACCAGUUGCGAAGGCGGCUGACUGGACACAUAUUGACGCUGAGGCUCGAAAGCAUGGGGAGCAAAACAGGAUUAGAUACCCUGGUAGUCCAUGCCAUAAACGAUGAAUACUAGGUUUUGGGCCCGUCAACGGUCCAGAGCCGCAGCUAACGCGUUAAGUAUUCCGCCUGGGGAGUACGGUCGCAAGACUG
rnacentral:rRNA from 1 species